AAAAACAUAAAAAACUACGAAUUUGCAGAUUUCUCCCCUCUCUCCCCCCCAAACCCGACGCUCAAAAUGGUGUGACUUUUUUCUGAACAUUAUGUGGACCAUAUAGAACAAUUUGGUGUUGGAGAAUUACUUUCACUUUGGAUGUCUGGGUUUGGGUCUAACUAAACCAUACUACUAAUAAAAAUGGUAGGUAAAAGAUUAUUAUAAACGAAGUCUUAAAAAAUCAUUAUAAUAAAUGUUAUAAAUAAAUAAAAAAAGAUGAGUAGCUCCUAACCCUUAAAAGCAGUUUUCUACUUAAAAGUAACAAAUAAAUAAUAAUUAUUAUUAAUUUGCAGAAAAAGUUUCGUCGAAGGGUAAAAGAAAGUUAUUUACCGAUGAAAUGACGCAUCCAAUGCAAAAUAAUAAAGUUACAAAAAGAAAGGAGGUGCCAACUACUGAAAAAACCGAAAGCACUUCAAAUGCGAUUGCAAGGCACCGAUGGACCGAAAA